rnacentral:rRNA from 1 species
AUUGAACGCUGGCGGUAGGCCUAACACAUGCAAGUCGAACGAGUGGCGGACGGGUGAGUAAUGGCCGGGAAAAUGCCCGAGGGAGGGGGAUACCUACGGGAAACGGUAGCUAAUACCGCAUAACAACGGAUGUCCCGAGAUGGGAUUAGCUAGGAGGUGGGGUAACGGCUCACCUCGGCGACGACCCCUAGCUGGUGUGAGAGGAUGACCAGCCACACUGGAACUGAGACACGGUCCAGACUCCUACGGUAGGCAGCAGUGGGGAAUAUUGGCCACUGGGCGCAAUCCGUAUGCAGCCAUGCCGCGUGUAUGAAGAAGGCCUUCGGGUUGUAAAGUACUUUCGGCGGGGAGGCGUUACCCGCAGAAGAAGCACCGGCUAACUCCGUGCCAGCAGCCGCGGUAAUAC